rnacentral:misc_RNA from 1 species
AACGCACAUUGCGCUCGCCAGUAUUCUGGCGAGCAUGCCUGUUCGAGCGUCAUUUCAACCCUCAGGCCCCGUUCGCGGGAUCUGGUGUUGGGGAUCGGCCGUCCUUCGCGGCGGCCGGCCCUGAAAUGGAGUGGCGGUCUCGUCGCGACCUCCUCUGUGUAGUAGUUAUACCUCGCAGCUGGAUAGCGGCGCGGCCACGCCGUAAAACCCCCUACUUCUCAAGGUUGACCUCGGAUCAGGUAGGAAUACCCGCUGAACUUAA